CAGAAGGCCCCAGUGUCUGCCUUGUAAAUACCUGGCCGCCUUGGUGCUAACUGGGAGGUAUUUACAAGGCAGACACUGGGGCCUUCUU
rnacentral:miRNA from 1 species